rnacentral:rRNA from 1 species
UGGGGAAUCUUGCACAAUGGGGGAAACCCUGAUGCAGCGACGCCGCGUGAGCGAUGAAGCCCUUCGGGGUGUAAAGCUCUUUCGGCAGGAACGAUAAUGACGGUACCUGCAGAAGAAGCUGCGGCUAACUAUGUGCCAGCAGCCGCGGUAAUACGUAGGCAGCAAGCGUUGUUCGGAGUUACUGGGCGUAAAGAGUGUGUAGGCGGUUCGCCAAGUUCGGUGUGAAAUCUCCCGGCUUAACUGGGAGGGUGCGCCGAAUACUGGCGGGCUAGAGUGCGGGAGAGGAGAGCGGAAUUCCUGGUGUAGCGGUGAAAUGCGUAGAUAUCAGGAGGAACACCUGCGGUGUAGACGGCUCUCUGGACCGUUUCUGACGCUGAGACACGAAAGCGUGGGGAGCAAACA